rnacentral:rRNA from 1 species
UCGAACGUGAAAGCACUUCGGUGUGAGUAGAGUGGCGGACGGGUGAGUAACGCGUGGGAAUCUACCCAGUAGUGGGGGACAACUACCGGAAACGGUAGCUAAUACCGCAUACGCCCUAUGGGGGAAAGGCUUCGGCCGCUAUUGGAUGAGCCCGCGUCAGAUUAGCUAGUUGGUAGGGUAAAGGCCUACCAAGGCAACGAUCUGUAGCUGGUCUGAGAGGACGAACAGCCACGCUGGGACUGAGACACGGCCCAGACUCCUACGGGAGGCAGCAGUGGGGAAUAUUGGACAAUGGGCGAAAGCCUGAUCCAGCAAUGCCGCGUGUGUGAAGAAGGCCUGCGGGUUGUAAAGCACUUUCAGUUGGGAAGAUAAUGACGUUACCAACAGAAGAAGCACCGGCUAAAUCCGUGCCAGCAGCCGCGGUAAUACGGAUGGUGCGAGCGUUAAUCGGAAUUACUGGGCGUAAAGCGCGCGUAGGCGGCUAAGUCAGUCAGAAGUGAAGGCCCCGGGCUCAACCUGGGAAUUGCUUUUGAUACUGCUUAGCUAGAGUUUGGUAGAGGAUAGUGGAAUUCCAGGUGUAGCGGUGAAAUGCGUAGAUAUCUGGAGGAACAUCAGUGGCGAAGGCGACUGUCUGGACCAAAACUGACGCUGAGGUGCGAAAGCGUGGGUAGCAAACAGGAUUAGAUACCCUGGUA